AAAGAAUUAGUUUAUAAAAACAUUGUAUUGUCAAAACAAAAAUAUUAAUAUUUAAUAUUCUUUA
rnacentral:tRNA from 1 species